ACUUCAGGAGGGGAAGAGAGGAAGUGCGCUGGGCAAAGAGGAAACGAUGUCACAGGACACACUUUUGCUGUCUUUGCUGCUGUCGCCUAAGAGGUGGACACAGCUCCCGAGGACUUACGCUAGAAGCCAAGCCAGUCUCCUCACCUGAAAAAUGGGAAGAGCAAAAUAUCCUACCCUAGAGGGUUGCUGUGAGAGCCGAAAGCGUCUAUCCACGUGAAGCACAUGGGACAGAGCCUGGCACAAAGAAAAUGCUUCCCAGCUCCAUCAGCCCACCGCCCCCUCUGGCCUUCCCUCAAGAGCAGCCACUGGGCCUUGGUUGCCAUGGAGACAGUUUCCCUCAGAGGCUUUGCCUCCCAUCUUCUUUUCUUUUCUUUUCUUUUUUCUUUUUUUUUAAUUUGAGACAAGAUCUCGCUUUGUCACCCGGCCU
rnacentral:lncRNA from 1 species